UACAGGGGGGGCAAGCGUUGUUCGGAUUCAUUGGGCGUAAAGGGUGCGUAGGCGGCGCGGUAAGUCGGGUGUGAAAUCUCGGAGCUUAACUCCGAAACUGCAUUCGAUACUACCGUGCUUGAGGACUGGAGAGGAGACUGGAAUUUACGGUGUAGCGGUGAAAUGCGUAGAUAUCGUAAGGAAGACCAGUGGCGAAGGCGGGUCUCUGGACAGUUCCUGACGCUGAGGCACGAAGGUCAGGGGAGCAAACGGG
rnacentral:rRNA from 1 species